UACGUAGGGUGCAAGCGUUGUCCGGAAUUAUUGGGCGUAAAGAGCUCGUAGGCGGUUCGUCGCGUCGGCUGUGAAAUCCCGGAGCUCAACUCCGGGUCUGCAGUCGAUACGGGCGGACUUGAGUUCGGCAGGGGAGACUGGAAUUCCUGGUGUAGCGGUGAAAUGCGCAGAUAUCAGGAGGAACACCGGUGGCGAAGGCGGGUCUCUGGGCCGAUACUGACGCUGAGACGCGAAAGCGUGGGGAGCGAACAGG
rnacentral:rRNA from 1 species